UACGUAGGGGGCAAGCGUUGUCCGGAAUCAUUGGGCGUAAAGAGCGUGUAGGCGGUUCGGUAAGUCGGCUGUGAAAGUCCAGGGCUCAACCCUGGGAUGCCGGUCGAUACUGCCGGACUAGAGUUCGGAAGAGGCGAGUGGAAUUCCCGGUGUAGCGGUGAAAUGCGCAGAUAUCGGGAGGAACACCUAUGGCGAAGGCAGCUCGCUGGGACGUUACUGACGCU
rnacentral:rRNA from 1 species